ACACUAACAGUAAACUUGUUCACAAAAUUCUCAUAUAUUUAUUGAGAUCAUGAAAGGCUAAGGUAACAAUGAUAUAAAAAACUAAAGUCCUCAACAAGCUAGCAUUGGAAGAGUUGAUUGGUUCUUCGAUAACUCACGAGCUCAACAUAAGGUAGAAUAUUGAAGAGUCAUGGACGAAGAAGAAAAUUGUACUAAAACUAGUGGCCA
rnacentral:lncRNA from 1 species